GCUGAGGCGUGAUGACGAGGCACUACGGUGCUGAAGCAACAAAUGCCCUGCUUCCAGGAAAAGCCUCUAAGCAUCAGGUAACAUCAAAUCGUACCCCAAACCGACACAGGUGGUCAGGUAGAGAAUACCAAGGCGCUUGAGAGAACUCGGGUGAAGGAACUAGGCAAAAUGGUGCCGUAACUUCGGGAGAAGGCACGCUGAUAUGUAGGUGAAGCGACUUGCUCGUGGAGCUGAAAUCAGUCGAAGAUACCAGCUGGCUGCAACUGUUUAUUAAAAACACAGCACUGUGCAAACACGAAAGUGGACGUAUACGGUGUGACGCCUGCCCGGUGCCGGAAGGUUAAUUGAUGGGGUUAGCGGUAACGCGAAGCUCUUGAUCGAAGCCCCGGUAAACGGCGGCCGUAACUAUAACGGUCCUAAGGUAGCGAAAUUCCUUGUCGGGUAAGUUCCGACCUGCACGAAUGGCGUAAUGAUGGCCAGGCUGUCUCCACCCGAGACUCAGUGAAAUUGAACUCGCUGUGAAGAUGCAGUGUACCCGCGGCAAGACGGAAAGACCCCGUGAACCUUUACUAUAGCUUGACACUGAACAUUGAGCCUUGAUGUGUAGGAUAGGUGGGAGGCUUUGAAGUGUGGACGCCAGUCUGCAUGGAGCCGGCCUUGAAAUACCACCCUUUAAUGUUUGAUGUUCUAACGUUGGCCCCUGAUCGGGGUUGCGGACAGUGUCUGGUGGGUAGUUUGACUGGGGCGGUCUCCUCCUAAAGAGUAACGGAGGAGCACGAAGGUUGGCUAAUCCUGGUCGGACAUCAGGAGGUUAGUGCAAUGGCAUAAGCCAGCUUGACUGCGAGCGUGACGGCGCGAGCAGGUGCGAAAGCAGGUCAUAGUGAUCCGGUGGUUCUGAAUGGAAGGGCCAUCGCUCAACGGAUAAAAGGUACUCCGGGGAUAACAGGCUGAUACCGCCCAAGAGUUCAUAUCGACGGCGGUGUUUGGCACCUCGAUGUCGGCUCAUCACAUCCUGGGGCUGAAGUAGGUCCCAAGGGUAUGGCUGUUCGCCAUUUAAAGUGGUACGCGAGCUGGGUUUAGAACGUCGUGAGACAGUUCGGUCCCUAUCUGCCGUGGGCGCUGGAGAACUGAGGGGGGCUGCUCCUAGUACGAGAGGACCGGAGUGGACGCAUCACUGGUGUUCGGGUUGUCAUGCCAAUGGCACUGCCCGGUAGCUAAAUGCGGAAGAGAUAAGUGCUGAAAGCAUCUAAGCACGAAACUUGCCCCGAGAUGAGUUCUCCCUGAGACUUUAAGUCUCCUGAAGGAACGUUGAAGACGACGACGUUGAUAGGCCGGGUGUGUAAGCGCAGCGAUGCGUUGAGCUAA
rnacentral:rRNA from 1 species